UCGAUUUGUGAACCAAUCUCAACGUUAUUUUAACGUGGAUUCAACGUUGAAUUAUGGUUGACGAGAUUGGCAACCUAAUUUCAACGUUGUUUCAACGUCGAAACAGUAACGUCGAUCCAAUUUGCAUAGUCAACCCUUUUUCAACGUCUAUCCAACGUCUGGAAGGUCAUUUCCAACGUUGGAUAAACGUCAUUUUGCCCGCUGGGAUGUCAGUAGGGCCAUUCAGUAUACGACUAUAUACCAGCGAAAUAAGCCGUGGCUCGUCUUAUUUAAAGCACGAAAAAAUACUAUAUAUGUAGUCCCGUAUAAAUGUUCUUGUUCGCGACAUUAUUUUCGCUUGUAUAUAAACUCACAUCAGGC